GACGAACGCNGGCGGCGUGCUUAACACAUGCAAGUCGAACGAAGAGCGAUGGAAGCUUGCUUCUAUCAAUCUUAGUGGCGAACGGGUGAGUAACGCGUAAUCAACCUGCCCUUCAGAGGGGGACAACAGUUGGAAACGACUGCUAAUACCGCAUACGAUCUAAUCUCGGCAUCGAGGAUAGAUGAAAGGUGGCCUCUACAUGUAAGCUAUCACUGAAGGAGGGGAUUGCGUCUGAUUAGCUAGUUGGAGGGGUAACGGCCCACCAAGGCGAUGAUCAGUAGCCGGUCUGAGAGGAUGAACGGCCACAUUGGGACUGAGACACGGCCCAGACUCCUACGGGAGGCAGCAGUGGGGAAUCUUCCGCAAUGGACGAAAGUCUGACGGAGCAACGCCGCGUGAGUGAUGACGGCCUUCGGGUUGUAAAGCUCUGUUAAUCGGGACGAAAGGCCUUCUUGCGAAUAGUGAGAAGGAUGAC
rnacentral:rRNA from 1 species